GAUGAGGCAUCAAAAUUAGGUUUAUUAAGCCUUGUUCUUGUUAAGGAUUUGUUUGCUGCGUCACAAAAAUGCAUAAAAAAAGCCCACUACAUCAGAAAAAGGAGGAAAACAAACUAAGGGAAAAAGCAAAGUGUUAUGGUCAAAGAAGAAAUAAAGCAAUACCAGAUCUCCUUUUGAUAACCUUGACUUUCCUUGCUCCAAGCCAUUUCGCUUUUCAAAGGUUUAAGUUUUUCUCUUCCUCCUCUAUGUAUCUGCUUAUGCUUCUAUAGUUUUAAUUCCUUUUUUUUUUUAAUUUUAAUAAAGUAUUUUCUUUAUUUUACUAAUUUGUACUGAACAAGUACUUAUCAUAAAAAGAGUAUCCCCACGAAGAGUCAAAUGAGUCUAUCAUGAAAAAGAAAAUGUGCAGGAAACUUGCAUCCACCUAUUUUCUUUUUCUUCCUGUUUCCUGAUUAGACACAGUUUAGUGUGUUUGAAAUGAGCUAGAGGCGUGUCAGAAUAUAUAAUACACAUAUACAUUUGACACUGGAUACUGGUCCUUGGAAAGUGUCACACUUCAUAGACAAAAAAAUCAUAAAUUCACAUAUGCACACACCCAUGCUUGUGCAGUCAUAUGCACAUGCGCAAACACAGUGAAAAAUCAGCAAAAAUGAUUUGUCUCAGAUAGGCUCCAUAACAAACAGGAAUAAUUUAAUGACCAUUAGUUGAGAAACAGAUGUCAUCUUGCUUGAUA
rnacentral:misc_RNA from 1 species